GAUGAACGCUGGCGGCGUGCCUAAUACAUGCAAGUCGAGCGAACAGACGAGGAGCUUGCUCCUCUGACGUUAGCGGCGGACGGGUGAGUAACACGUGGAUAACCUACCUAUAAGACUGGGAUAACUUCGGGAAGCCGGAGCUAAUACCGGAUAAUAUAUUGAACCGCAUGGUUCAAUAGUGAAAGACGGUUUUGCUGUCACUUAUAGAUGGAUCCGCGCCGCAUUAGCUAGUUGGUAAGGUAACGGCUUACCAAGGCAACGAUGCGUAGCCGACCUGAGAGGGUGAUCGGCCACACUGGAACUGAGACACGGUCCAGACUCCUACGGGAGGCAGCAGUAGGGAAUCUUCCGCAAUGGGCGAAAGCUUGACGGAGCAACGCCGCGUGAGUGAUGAAGGUCUUCGGAUCGUAAAACUCUGUUAUUAGGGAAGAACAAAUGUGUAAGUAACUAUGCACGUCUUGACGGUACCUAAUCAGAAAGCCACGGCUAACUACGU
rnacentral:rRNA from 1 species